CAUAUACUCCCUCCAUCCGAAAAUACUUGUCGUGUGAAUGGUUGUAUGUAGACUUGUUUUAGUUAUAGAUACAUCAAUUUUAUUCAUUUCUAAGAUAAGUAUUCUUGGACGGAGGAAGUAGUAU
rnacentral:pre_miRNA from 1 species